rnacentral:rRNA from 1 species
GUCUAGGGCCAUACCACCCUGAACGCGCCCGAUCUCGUCUGAUCUCGGAAGCUAAGCAGGGUCGGGCCUGGUUAGUACUUGGAUGGGAGAACCAAGCUUGGAUC